rnacentral:rRNA from 1 species
GUGGAUUAGAUACCCUGGUAGUCCACGCAGUAAACGAUGAAUACUAGCUGUUGGCGAUAUAAUGUCAGCGGUACAGCGAAAGUGUUAAGUAUUCCACCUGGGGAGUACGCCGGCAACGGUGAAACUCAAAGGAAUUGACGGGGGCCCGCACAAGCGGAGGAACAUGUGGUUUAAUUCGAUGAUACGCGAGGAACCUUACCCGGGCUUGAAAGUUAGUGAAUGAGAUGGAAACAUUUCAGUCCUUCGGGACACGAAACUAGGUGCUGCACGGCCGUCGACAACU